rnacentral:lncRNA from 1 species
CCUCUCUCUCUCAAGAGUCUCGCCGUUCGCCUCUCGGGCUCAGACCCGCAAUCUCCAGCACGUUGCCUCCAUCUCCGUUGUCACCUUCAGGAGCCACUUUCUCUCCGUCGCUCCCAAUAGCCUCCGCCGAUGGCAUCCCGCGCUCAGAUCCGAUGCCUCCGCCACGUCGCCUCCGCCGCUGCCACCACCUCCAGGAACCACUUCCUCUCUCUCUUGCCCUAAAGCGCCCUCGCCUGUCUCAUCCCGAGCUCAUAUCCUUUCCAUCAUCUCUACCCUUGGCUUUGCUGCGAGAGAAGGAACGCCAAUGGAGUCCGUGUCGAUCCGUUCUUGCUCGUCCCCUCUGCCCGCGGAAGCGGGAGACCUCUGUGGCCUGAGAUCGUCGUCGACCGCUGCGACGAGG